rnacentral:rRNA from 1 species
UACAGAGGUCCCAAGCGUUGUUCGGAUUUACUGGGCGUAAAGGGUGCGUAGGCGGUUGUUUAAGUCUGACGUGAAAUCUCCGGGCUCAACCCGGAAACUGCGUUGGAUACUAUUCAACUAGAGGAAUGGAGGGGAGACUGGAAUACUUGGUGUAGCAGUGAAAUGCGUAGAUAUCAAGUGGAACACCAGUGGCGAAGGCGAGUCUCUGGACAUUUCCUGACGCUGAGGCACGAAAGCCAGGGGAGCAAACGGG